rnacentral:lncRNA from 1 species
CUGAUGGCUGACGGCUGAUUCUUCCACACGCUCUAGUGUCUUCCAUCCUUUAAAAAAACUCAUUGCCCUUGGGUCCUUGAGUAUUCUAGCUACCAUUCUAUUUCUCCAUUGAUCUUCACACCUAAACUUCUUAAGACGUUUCUACAAACGAAUCCCACAUCUUCAUCAUUUGAUUAUUUUUCAAAUCACUUUAAUGUAUUUUAAAAACUCUUAGUGUCACCAGUGAUCUCUGUUUCAAGUCUACUGUCUCCUUUGGCCCGUGUUUUACUCGACUUCUCAGCAGGUUCCGGCCCAGCUGAGCCUCUGCUCUUUGGAACUUCCCUUCUUGCUUCUGUGAAGUUCAGUCCUUUUUGUAUCUUAUUGGUCACCUAUGUUCGGCCUGCACAGGGACUUCUCUGUUUACGUCACAAUUUCUGAGCAUUCGUCCCUACUUACAUUUCUUUUUUCCUAAGUAUUCUCACGCCUUUAACUCUAAUCUGUAUUCUGACAAUUUCAAAACAUGAAACCUCUCCUGUCCAGACCAUUCCUUCCCCUGACCUCCAGACUCAGGGAUCGAUGAUUACCUAACUGAUGAGCUCGUGCAGUUAUCAAAGAAGCGGCUCAAAGUUGACCUGGUCCAACAGGACUGCGUAUCUCUUCUUAAAUCCUUUCCCUCCAGCCUUCCCUAUCUUGGGACUGUUACCACCAACUAGUUGGGUACUAAAUCACCCUCCGACUGCCCCUGAAGGAUGGUGGCGGAAGAGCAAAGAGAGAGGUCCUUUGGUUCUAGAAAAUCUCCUGGAAAAGAGGAAAGGCUUCUCAGCCCUCAAAGCCACCCACGCAGACCAGGCACUUUUGGCUAAGAGAGGAAGCAAUCAAUACGCCUGGUCAAUACAGCCUCUACAAUGUGUUUCCACUGUGUGA